rnacentral:rRNA from 1 species
UACGUAGGGUGCAAGCGUUAAUCGGAAUUACUGGGCGUAAAGCGUGCGCAGGCGGUGAUGUAAGACAGGUGUGAAAUCCCCGGGCUUAACCUGGGAAUUGCAUUUGUGACUGCACGGCUAGAGUGUGUCAGAGGGGGGGUAGAAUUCCAACGUGUAGGCAGUGAAAUGCGUAGAGAUGUGGGGGGAAUACCGAUGGCGAAAGGCAGCCCCCCUGGGGAUAACACUGACGCUCAUGCACGAAA